CCUACGGGGGGCAGCAGUGGGGAAUAUUGCACAAUGGGGGAAACCCUGAUGCAGCGACGCCGCGUGAGCGAUGAAGUAUUUCGGUAUGUAAAGCUCUAUCAGCAGGGAAGAAAAUGACGGUACCUGACUAAGAAGCCCCGGCGAACUACGUGCCAGCAGCCGCGGUAAUACGUAGGGGGCAAGCGUUAUCCGGAUUUACUGGGUGUAAAGGGAGCGUAGACGGUCCUGCAAGCCAGAUGUGAAAGCCCGGGGCUCAACCCCGGGACUGCAUUUGGAACUGUAAGGCUAGAGUGCCGGAGAGGCAGGCGGAAUUCCUAGUGUAGCGGUGAAAUGCGUAGAUAUUAGGAGGAACACCAGUGGCGAAGGCGGCCUGCUGGACGAUGACUGACGUUGAGGCUCGAAAGCGUGGGGAGCGAACAGGAUUAGAUACCCUAGUAGUC
rnacentral:rRNA from 1 species